UUCCUACUCUUCAUACAAGUACACAAGACUGGCUAUGAGACGUUACUGUAUUACCUAAUAUUGUCAUGUUGGUUGGUUACUUUUUGAGUAUUUAAUGCAUUGUUUUUUAAAAUAUCUAUUUUUAUGGUGAUAUGGAGAGAUCACGGUUAGGCAAAUCUUAAAAUAUAUAAGCACAUAGUUAACAUAUGUUAGAGACACAUAUUUAAACUAACAUGAUUUUUCACUCAGAGGUCAAAUCAAGUCUCUGUGGGUCAUUGUCUUUCUCCAACAAGUGCCCCACAAAGAUCCUCAACAAAAUGAAGCAUUUUUUUUGCAAGACAUGAUUUAAAGCAUGAAUUGCUACAAAUAAGAACUUAAUGCCAUACAUAUUUAACCUUUAUUUCUACAAUGGUUUUAGGUUGUAGGGGUGCAUUCAACCCUAUAUGGCAAUUUAUAAUUUGAGCACCUCUUCGACAAUCGUAUUUUGGAUGAUAUGUUAGAGUAUUCAAUAUCAGCUUUUACGAUUGUUUCUCAAUAAGUGUACUUUAUAUGAUUUAUUUACCACUAGAUAUCAAUGUAUGUUUACUAUGGUUGUUAGAUUACUGGUAUAACGAGUGUUAGAAAUCUCCCUUACUUUCUAUAGCUUGCUUCCAAAAUGUCUUAUCUGAGAUCUUCCUCACUCACCAUACCUUUGUCUGACUUGAAUUGAUGUACUUUUUGCUACUUUUACAUUUGAAUUUGUUUCUACCCUGGGGGCAGAUUCAGGAUCUUGCUAAGAGAAUGGCUAAAUGGUUCAAAGUCGGUGGUUACAUAUUUUUCAGAGAGUCAUGCUUCCAUCAAUCAGGAGACCAUAAGCGAAACAAAAACCCAACCCACUAUCGAGAUCCUAGCUUUUAUACGAACUUCUUACCUUUGCUUUCAACUGUUUUCUUAUCUCACAUGAUGUCAACUGCACUUUUUAAGAAAAAAUAUUAUAUCCUUGAAAUUCAAUUGUUGAAGUAUGUUACUGCUUUUACCAACUAUUUGUGUUCACGCAGUAAUUUUUUCACGCUUCUGUGGGUACAUUCAUUCUUGUCCUCUUUCUUUCAUGAGCGGUUCUCUCUAUUAAACCCUAGUUAGAUAUGGAAAGUUCUUUUGGCUGCAGUUUUAUUAUCUACUCCUAGUGUGAUUAUCGCUCUGUCUUAAAAGUUCUCUGAACCUCCAUUUUAUCAAAAAAAAUAUAGUGAAUCUUUAUUGUGCACUCAAAAUUGCCACAGUUUCUGUUGGAUAAUUUUAUCAAAAAUUCUUACGUUGCACAGUGAAAGUAUUAAAUAGUUUGAAUUGAUACAUUUAUCAGUUGUCACUCUGAAAAUAACCUGAGUUGAUGCAUCAAUCUGUUGUUAUUGGACAUUUCUGGUCUCCAUUCUUAAUUGUUACUAAAAAAGCAUAGUAACAGCUGAAAAAGAACUGUCAAACGCAGAUUUUAAGAGAAUGCCAUGUAAAUGCAGUUGAUAGAAAAUCAUUAGAACUUUCUCUUGCUGGUUGCAAGUGCAUCGAAGCUUAUGUGAGGAACAAAAAGAUUCAAAAUCAGUUAAUUGUUGCAGCCUGGGAUUCCCUCCAUACUGCCUUCUCCUCGGCUGCUGACUACUGAUUUCUGAGCAAAAGUAUCAGAUUUUAGGCUUGUGAAACCUGCUUCUAAUGGAGGGAAGAACUCCGUGGUCACUAAGCUACCUGAAACCUUUAUAUAUCUAGCACCAGAAUAUGCUUAGGUAAAAUCACAACAAUAGCUGAUAUCUUCAGUUUGGAAGCCUUUUGAGGAAGAUACAGAUGACGAGUGUGGUAUCGAUUACAGUUUUCCACUCAACCAAACGGUCAGAGGCUGGCAAGAAUCGAAAGGAAAAUACUUGAGUUACGUCAACCUUGAAGAAUCUAAAGGCAGUAUCCAUUCAAGGCCUACUGGAUUUGUCGAGUCCUUCACAUCAGUUGAUUGUAUAUAAAAUAAAGUUCUGCACUAUGUGUAGUUGAUAUGAUUAUCCUAUUCAAUAAAUGUGGAUAGCAAUUUUAUUUGUUUUGUGUGAAAUUUUGUUCCUGUUUAUCUAUGUUUUCUUUCAUUUUUGUUUGUAUAAAUCUUGAUUUCACAUGUCCUGUUCUUCCAUUCCUACAGGACCACACAAUUCAGACUUAA